rnacentral:lncRNA from 1 species
AUGAUAAUCUACCUCCUUCCCGGCCAGCCCCUGGUCUGGAGGGCGAGCAGCACUUACAGGCCGCCCUGGCUAACGCUACCCAGCAGCAGCAGCAGAGCCGCCCCGGCCGCGCAUUUCCACCUCCCGGGGGGCGGGCGAGCAAAAUCAAAAUUAAAUCAAAUUAAACCUUUCUCUCUCUCUCUCGUACCCACCCUCUUUCACCCCGCUGCCCGGCCCCGUCUCGGGAUUAACGAACCCCAAACUACUUCUUUUCCCAUUAAUGGAAACGGGCAGAGGCAGGGAGCGAACCCCGACCGUAGUGGGGGGAGAAAUUAUAUAUAUAUAUAUAUAUAUAUAUAUAUAUAUAUAUAUAAUAUAUAUAUAUAUAUACUGCAAAUUUCAAAGUCGCGGCCUGACUCUCGAGUCCCGGAAGACCCCGCUCGCUUCACCACCCCACCACCCCGGGGCCGCACGCGUGCGGGGCAGGCUGGGCUCCACCACCGCUCGCCCGCUCGCUCGCCCGCCCGCCCCGCCAGGAGGCGAGCUCCGGCCCGCCGCCCUCCCGGGACCCCGAGUCGGCGCCGAGGCCCGGAAAGCGUCCCGUUAGGGCCGAUUUCACCCGUCAGGAAUGCGCUCGCCCCCGCCGCCCUCGGCUCGCACCGCCCCCCGCCCGCCCGCUCGCUCGCUCGCUCGCCGGAACGCUCGCCCAGUCACAACACCGCGGGGACGGCCGCGCAGCGCUCCCCGGCUCCGGUCACCCCCAGCCUGAGCGGCCAGAGCCUCCGAUCCCCGCCCGGAGGGGAGACGCCCGGGCCCCGCGGCUCCGGCUCCCGUUGCCGCGGCGCUCGCCCUACCUCAGCUCGUCAGGGCGGAGGGCGAGCAGGCCCAUCCCGCGGAGGCAGAAGCGGGAGGGAGGGAGGAGGGCGACGGCCGGGCAAGGACGGGCCCUCAGCCCCGCGGCGGAACCUUCUCAGCUCGUGCGAGCGCUACCGCUGCGAGCGUGGCUGCCGGACGUCAGGGCGAGCGGGGCGAGCGGGGCGAGCGGACCUUUCCCGGUCUCCUCUCCGUGACUCCAGCCGGACCGCGGCAGCCGGGGACCAGCGCUGCAACUGCCAUUCUCCCCCGCCCCGCCUCCCGCUCCGGCCCCGCCCUGCCUGGCCCCGCCCCGCGCCGCGAUCGCUGCGCCUUGACGUCACGACCCCGCCCCGCCCCGCCCUCCUUGCCAGGCCAGCCCCGGCUGCCUCCGGACGCGCCGGUUCCUAG